GCCUGAGGCAGGAUGAAGCUCUGAAGAUUUAUUUGGGACAUACAAUCCCAGGGAAACAAGGGGAAGGAAAACUGCAUCUGAGGGUCUGCUGGACUAUGGGCCUCAUCAUUUCCUCAGCCUCCACUGAGGGCCUGAAUACUCCUCAGAGACUGCAGCCACUUUGAAGGAUGCAGGAGAGGCAGGAAACUGGCUUGUGUUCCAUCGCAAAAGGAUUCCAGCAGAGGUGCAAGAAACAGUGAUCAAUAAAAGAGAUGUGAGAAUUAAAUUCUAACCAUUAUGAAGAAGAGGAAGAGGAAGAAGGAGAAGAAGAAGAAGAAGAAGAAGCAGCGGUGGCAGAGGAGGAGAAUAAAAAGGAGGAAGAAGGAAGAAAGAAGAGGAAGAAGAAGGAAGAAGAAGAGGAGGAGGAGGAGGAGCAGAGAAAAAAAGGAAAGAAAAGAAAAAAGGAGAGAAGUUUGUACACAUUUCACUCUUCCAUGUCAGUUCACCCUUCUCCUCACCCACCCAUCCUUCUCUGCCUCAACAUCAUAUACUUAUAUUUUCUUUAAACCCUAUCUGAUCACCCCUUGCUACAAGAUUCUACAAAUUCCAUUUAUUGAAGUCUUAUUUUUUUCUGACAUUCAUUUGACCUUGAUCCUGUAACAAUCUCACUAGAAAACAAAACAUGAUUGUGAUUCAGGCUCUGAAUGGGGAAGGAGAGCAAAAUUCAUGAUUUUACCGAUAAGGCAAUACACUAAUUUAAAGGAAGUAAAGUAAAGACCACUUUUAAAGUGGUCUCAAGGCCAGGCAUGGUGGCUCACACCUGUAAUCCUGUACUUUGGGAGGCUGAGGCGGGCAGAUCACAAGGUCAGGAGAUCGAGACCAACCUGGCCAACAUGGUGAAACCCCGUCUCUACUAAAAAAAAAAAAAAAAAAAAUACAAAAAAUUAGCCAGACAUGGUAGCACGCACCUGUAGGCCCAGCUACUCAGGAGGCUGAGGCAGGAGAAUUGCUUGAACCCAGGAGGUGGAGGCUGCAGUUAGCUGAGAUCGUGCCACUGCACUCCAACCUUGACAGCAGAGCAAGACUCUGUCUCCAAAAAAAGAAAUUAAUUAAAUAAAAUAAAAUAAUUAAGUGGUCUCAAGACACCAGUUUAAAAGAAAAAAUGACAAUUCUAUUCUUGGCUAGCUAAAAAUCACAUUAUGAUAACUAUUAAAAAUGUAUAUAUUUCACUUGCUUUAUAUGUUACAGUAUUGUACUUUACUCUCUCAAAAUAGUAUCCUUUCUCUUGUCUCUUUUAUUCAUCAGCACAGCUAUUCAAUAACCUCUCUAAGGAACCAUAUAAGAACAGGAAAACAGUACCGAACAGUACAGUGACCUUGCCUGACCAGCUUGACUCACCCACCAUGAGGGCUCUGCCACCUACUACCUGCCCACCAUUCAGCAAAUUUCAUUAAAAGUUCAAUAACCCAACAAGAUCCAGACUGAUUCUCUAUCAGAUUAUUGGAUUUUCCUAUACUAUUGGGUAUUAUACUAUUAAUACCACAAAUACCAAAAUAUUUCUCAAUUUUCAUCAUCGAUUCUGGACGAUAAUAUUUUGAUAUUUUAUUAUAAAAACAUAAUACACUGUAAAUAGCCAGCACUGCAAAAGAGUAUACUCUAGAAACCACUGACUACAAUAGACUAUCAAUACAUUAGUAAAUCAUACCUACAAAUAUUACAAACAGUAUUCAUAUUAGUUUGAUUUUUUCCAAUGUACCUGCUAAUACAUUAGCAAAUAAUUCAUUGCAAGAGAUUAGAGUGCAUAACAUCCUCAUUAAAAAUAUAUUGAUAUAAACUUUUAAAAAACUAUUGUAUCUAUAACUUAAGCCAUGGUUUCUUUUUUCCACCAAAAUUAUAUCAGAGUAUUUAGACUAACUAUAACUUAAAUAAGUGUAUUGGCACAUUUUUUUAUUCAACAAAUAUUUCUUGAAGUCUAGUUUGUACCUGGGGAAAAAAUAAUACAUAAAAGAGAAAUGGAGUCUAGCCCCUGGGAAUUUAUAGUCCAGAAAGGAAAAGAGACAAGUAAGCAGACAGUUAGAAUACAAUACAGAGCAAUGCGUGUCAUGAUGGGGAAGUCUGUUCUGGCAGUGCUUAAGGAAGCCCUUAACCCAUUCUUGAGAGGUCAUGGAAGCUUCCAGAAGGAAGGGACAAUUAAUCUUGUAAAAUUAACAAUCUUGUAAAAUUGAAGGGACAAUUAACCUGUAAAAUGAGGAGCAAGGGUUGACAAAACAAAAGGAGAAUGGCACAGAUGGUGAAGAUUUAUGGCAGGGAAACUGUACAUUCCAAAGCCUAGAAGUAAGAAACAAGGUACAUUCUUUGAGGUCCUGAAAGAGGUUUCCUAUGGCCAUAUUAUCCAAAGAUUUAAAAUGCUUUGUAGACUUCCAUGUGAAUAAAAUUUACUUUAUAUAAAUUAGCUUAAAACUUCCCUUCAUGCUGUGGCUUCUUUACUGAUGGGGUGGUUGCACCUUGGAUGCACUGAUGCCAUUGCUGCACUGAUG
rnacentral:lncRNA from 1 species